AUUGAACGCUGGCGGCAGGCCUAACACAUGCAAGUCGAGCGAGCGGCGGACGGGUGUGUAAUGUAUGGGGACUGCCCGAUAGAGGGGGAUAACUACUGGAAACGGUGGCUAAUACCGCAUACCAUCGGAUAACACAUAUGGGAUUGGAUAGUGGGUGGGGUAAAGGGUAACCUAGGGCACGAUCUCUAGCUGGUCUGAGAGGUUGAUCGGCCACACGGGGCCUGAGACACGGCCCAGACUCCUACGGAGGCAGCAGUGGGGAAUAUUGCACAAUGGGCGAAAGCCUUACGCAGCCAUGCCGCGUGUAUGAAGAAGGUCUUAGGGUUGUAAAGUACUUUCAGCGGGGAGGCGUUACCCGAAGAGGAAGCACCGGCUAACUCCGUGCCAGCAGCCGCGGUAAUAC
rnacentral:rRNA from 1 species